UACGAAGGGGGCUAGCGUUGUUCGGAGUUACUGGGCGUAAAGGGCGCGUAGGCGGCGCACCAAGUCAGGCGUGAAAGCCCUGGGCUCAACCCGGGAAUUGCGCUUGAGACUGGUGUGCUAGAGUACGGGAGAGGAUAGUGGAAUUCCCAGUGUAGAGGUGAAAUUCGUAGAUAUUGGGAAGAACACCGGUGGCGAAGGCGGCUAUCUGGACCGUAACUGACGCUGAGGCGCGAAAGCGUGGGGAGCAAACAGG
rnacentral:rRNA from 1 species